CUUCCGUUCCUCUGUUAUUCUCCAGACCCCAGAAGGGAAAGUAAAGGAAACAGCUAUUUUUCAGCUUUUCUGGAGGAAUGCAAAGUUCUCUUUCCUUAAGACAAAUGAGUCUGUUCCCUGCUCCUGCCUGCCUCCCAUCUAAUCCUUUGCUUAGGGAGCGACUUUUGAAGUCAGUGAUGAUGCCAGAUUUGGAAGAAUUCUAGAGGCAUGUGUUUGGGGACCAGCGAGGAUGAGAAUCAUAUUGGAUCUGCAGACGGGCACUGGAAUAAAACUGGCCUCGUUCAACUGUUCGUGCAAUUCUUCCAGCAAUGGAGUUAUCACUUCACUUUUCAUGUGUCCAAAAGGAAACUUGGAACUGAAGUGGGCGAAUUUAAUGAAGAAGAACAAACAUUUGAGCAAACCAGGGCUUACUGCAAUACCUGGCUACCAACCUGAAGAUGAAGUUAACAUAGGAGGAUAACAAAGCCAAGAGACUUUCAUUAAAGCAGAACUGGAACUUGACAUGCUGUACCUGCUGCCACCCUAUCUUGGAAUGUCCUGAGUCAGAGAAUUCAGAUGUGAAAGAGACCUGAAUAAGAACCUUCUCCAGUGUUCCUGAGACGGCGUACUGGACUACGCUGCCCUGACUCUCUCAACAUCCUUAUAUUCACAUUGUGCUGGAAUUCCUGCUCUUCUGACAAGUUGUUAGCUACUUGCUGUGGACUCCUCUCCAUCAUGUGAAAUGCUCCCAGCCAGUAAGAUCUAGACCAAAGCCAUCUCCUCUAUAAGCACCUCGAGUACUUGGCUCCUACUUUUGGACUGAUGUGGGCCAGCUAUGAUCAGAAGCAUUGUGUUUCUAAACUGGACGCCCAUAAAAACAUCCUUUUGGACCUUAAAAGACUACUCCCCCAAAGAGAAGACAAAGCAGAGAGUAAAAUCAAAUAGCGGAAGUGAGGCAUAUACCAUGACUGCCGGGACAGUGUGACCAUUCUAAGCAAGUUCAACGCUGGAGUUUGGGAAUGAUGCAACUACAGCGGAAGGCUUCAGUGCUCCGUGGAGACAAAAGAACCAAGACAGUUAACUCAGGCUAACAAAGCAAUGCUCCUCAAACUGUGAUCUCUGAACCAGCAGCAGCACCUGGGAACUUGUUAGAAAUGCAGAUUCUCCAGCCCCAUCCAUACCUACUGAGUCAGACAUCCAGAGCCUCGUCUGCAGCACCUGAACCUGAUUUGGAUGAUGGGAUACUGGACCUUGAGUGUGAGAUGGAUGCUGUCCAGAUGAGAUAUUUGGGAGUUCAAGGAGCGGAGCAACAGGCUCCGGACGCGCAGGCUCAGCGGCCACGGCUCACGGGCCCAGCCGCUCCGCGGCAUGUGGGAUCUUCCCAGACCAGGGCACGAACCCGUGUCCCCUGCAUCGGCAGGAGGACUCUCAACCACUGCGCCACCAGUGCCGAUUAUCAGACCGAGUUUCAGCAGAAUGAAAAUUGGCCCACGUGACCUGAAUUGCCAACCUCUUCCCAACAUCCUGCAUACAACUGCAUUUCCGAUGAUGCCUGCUUAAAUUCGGUAACUACUUCCAUGUGAACGGUUCAAGAAGAAAGAAGGAAUGUUCACUCUGCUUCUCUCUCCGUUUCUUUUUUGGCCCUUAAGCAUUUUCAUUGAGUUUCUAGGAUGGGAAAAUAAUGUCUUGCCAGGAAGGGUGAAAAGAAACACUGUCAGGGUCAAGUCGCACAGCCCAGAGAUUCGAUCCAUCAGCUCCACUGAAUCCCAGAACCAACUCAUUAUCUCAGUUUAGAAGCUUGAGGUCACUGAGGCCUGGUCAGGCCUGCUUGUCCCCUUCCACACUGCCACACAGGCAUCUUCUCUGGCAGACAGGGAACAGUGGUCUUUUGUCAAGACUUUGCAGUGCAGUUGCCCUACUGCUGCCCUUGCAGGCUAGGGUACCAAGCACAUCACCCCUGAAUGGCACUACCUUGACCAAGGGAGCAACAAGUUCCAAUCUUACAGUUAAGAACCAUUAAAACAGCAUCCUCUCCACCCUCUUAACUCAUUUCCCCCACUUACUAUGAUGAUUUUUGGAAGGUUAACCUUCCACCCUUUUUUAAAAAAUUGAGGCUAAAUUCAUAUAAAAUUAACCAUUUUAAAGCAUAUAAUUAACUGGCAUUUAGUGCAUUCACAGUGUUGUGCAACCAUCACUUCUGUCUAAUUCCAAAACAUUUCUGUCAUCCCCAAAGGAGACCUUAUAUUCUUUAUUUACAUAUCUUAUAUGCUUCAUUCUCAUUCUUCUCUUGCUCCAGGCUCCUUGGCAACAGUGAAUCUGCUUUCUUGUCUCUGUGUAUGAAAUAUCCAUUCAUGAGUUGAUGUAUAUUUGGGUUAUUUUCACCUUUUGGCUAUUGUGAAUAGUGCUGCUAUGAACAUUAAUGUACAAAUAUUUGUCUGAGUACCUGUUUUCAAUUCUUUUGGGUAACACUUGGUAGUGGAAUUGCUGGGUCAUAUGGUGAUUCUGUUUAAUUUUCUGAGGAAACUGGCAAUCCAUUUUCCACAGUGGCUGCACCAUUUUAUAAUCCCCCCAGCAAUAUACAAAUGUUCUAAUUUCUCUACACCUUUGCAAACGUUUGUUAUUUUCUGUUUUUUUGUUUUUGUUUUUUCUUGAUCAUAGAUAGCCUAGUGGGUAUGAACUGGUAUGGCACUGUGAUUUUGAUUCACAUUCUCCUAAUAAUUAGUGAUGUUUGAGCUUGUUGGCCAUUUGUAUAUUUACUCGAAGAAAUACCUAUCCAAGUCCUUCGCCCAGUUUUAAAUUGGAUUGUCUGUUGUUGAGUUGUAGGAGUUUUUUUUUAAAAUAUAUUUUGGAUAUUAAUCCCUUGAUUUGCAAAUAUUUACUCCUAUUCUGUGGGCUGCCUUUUCACCGUAUUGAUAGUGUCCUUUGAUGCAUAAUUUUAAUUUUGAUGACGUCCAAUUUAUCCAUAUUUUUCUUUUGUUUCUUGUGGGUUUUGUGUCACAAAGUUAAGAAGAUUUUCCCCUAUUGUUUUCUUCUAAGAGAUGCCAGCUUUUCCAGGAAGCCUGCCCACCCUGGCCAAUCAGGAGUCAGGGUUUGUCCUGACAUCUGCUUGCCUAGACACAGAGUUCCUACAGCCACGCCCGAAUGAACUAGUCAUUGCCUGGCUCUCCUCCACUCCACCACUUUAAUCAGUAGGAUGCAGACCUGGCACCCAAGCCUGACCUUUUUGAACUACAGACUUCAUGUAGUCCCUGUGGUCUGAGGGCGUUUGCUGUGAGGGAGCAUGUAGGGUGGCAGGUGAUUAUAUUCUUGAUUAAUCUUGGUUUUGUUCGCCAUUGUGUCCCUAGAGCAUAGCCCAGACCUAGCUCAGGUAGUCAGUAGACAGUUGUGGAAUGAACAGGAAGGGGAAAGGUAGAAUCUGAGAACUUGGGAGUGGAGUAUGUUCUCAGAUGUUAUUCCCUCCUGGCAUGGUGACCAAGGGCAAAUGCUGUGCCUAUGCUCUUGCUGAAAGAGCACAGUGCUGGGAACAGAGGUGGCCAUCCACAGAUACACUACAGGCUGAGAAAGGUGGGUAUUAACACCUUCCUGUAGGUCAAACAUUUUUUUUUUUAACUCCAUGACAUUCUAUUUGAAAAAACUGAUUUGAUUUUCAAUAUAUCUGAUUUUAUGUAACCAUAUGUGCGCACCAUCACCAUAGCAUGUUACUUUCCUAUUGGGUUGAUUUAAGACUUUCUUUUAGUCAUUCCUGGUGUUUGUCCUUGCCUUUGCGCUGAUUCUUUGGGUGUAAUGUCUAGGAGAAUCAUGUACCUAACCCAGGGCAUAAGCAGAGUUGGAUAAUAAAGGAUAAUACAAAAUAACAGUAAUUGGAUAAUAAAAUGUGAACAGAGUGAUUAUGAGAUGUCUAUUACUUAGGUUUAGGUUCAGACAUUUAAUGAAAGGAGCCAAUAAUACGAAAAGAAGGGAGAUGCCGGUGAGAGCUAGACCCUUUCCCAUCUCUGUGAGCAGCUGAGCCCAAACUGUGCCCACUACCCUGCCUAAUAUUGUUCACCGGCAGCAUGGGAUGUCCUUUCUUCCUCCUUGGGUGGCAUCAGCAUCUGUUUCAGUUUUCAAGGACUGCAUAUGA